AGAGCCAUCUACAGAGCUCUAAG
rnacentral:miRNA from 1 species